UAAAAAUAAUUAUUUAUAUUUUAAAGAAUUAUUACCAUGUAGGAUGCUGUUGGUGCAAUUGAUGGAACUCUUAUCCAUGCAUGUAUUCCCACUAAUCAACAAGUAUCUUAUUGAGGUCGUGGGAGAGGAGAAUGUUUUCAAAAUGUUAUGGCAGUUUGUGAUUUUGACAUGAUAUUUAGGUUUAUUGUUGUUGGAUGGGAAGGAACAACUCAUGAUUCAAGAGUCUUGACAGAAACUAUCCGUAACCUGCAACAUAAUUUUCCAAUGCCCCCAUCAUAAUUUUCCAAUGCCCCCAUCAGAAAAAUAUUAUUUAGUAGAUGCAGCAUACACACACACUCGAGGUUUUAUGGCACCAUAUCGUAAUGUGCGCUAUUGGUUGAGUGAUUUUCGUAGUGGUGGUAAAGCUGUAGGAAAAGAGGAGAUAUUCAACCAAUGCCAUGCAA